CCUGGCUCAGGAUGAACGCUAGCUACAGGCUUAACACAUGCAAGUCGAGGGGCAGCAUGGUCUUAGCUUGCUAAGGCCGAUGGCGACCGGCGCACGGGUGAGUAACACGUAUCCAACCUGCCGUCUACUCUUGGACAGCCUUCUGAAAGGAAGAUUAAUACAAGAUGGCAUCAUGAGUCCGCAUGUUCACAUGAUUAAAGGUAUUCCGGUGGACGAUGGGGAUGCGUUCCAUUAGAUAGUAGGCGGGGUAACGGCCCACCUAGUCUUCGAUGGAUAGGGGUUCUGAGAGGAAGGUCCCCCACAUUGGAACUGAGACACGGUCCAAACUCCUACGGGAGGCAGCAGUGAGGAAUAUUGGUCAAUGGGCGAGAGCCUGAACCAGCCAAGUAGCGUGAAGGACGACUGCCCUAUGGGUUGUAAACUUCUUUUAUAAAGGAAUAAAGUCGGGUAUGGAUACCCGUUUGCAUGUACUUUAUGAAUAAGGAUCGGCUAACUCCGUGCCAGCAGCCGCGGUAAUACGGAGGAUCCGAGCGUUAUCCGGAUUUAUUGGGUUUAAAGGGAGCGUAGAUGGAUGUUUAAGUCAGUUGUGAAAGUUUGCGGCUCAACCGUAAAAUUGCAGUUGAUACUGGAUAUCUUGAGUGCAGUUGAGGCAGGCGGAAUUCGUGGUGUAGCGGUGAAAUGCUUAGAUAUCACGAAGAACUCCGAUUGCGAAGGCAGCCUGCUAAGCUGCAACUGACAUUGAGGCUCGAAAGUGUGGGUAUCAAACAGGAUUAGAUACCCUGGUAGUCCACACGGUAAACGAUGAAUACUCGCUGUUUGCGAUAUACUGCAAGCGGCCAAGCGAAAGCGUUAAGUAUUCCACCUGGGGAGUACGCCGGCAACGGUGAGACUCAAAGGAAUUGACGGGGGCCCGCACAAGCGGAGGAACAUGUGGUUUAAUUCGAUGAUACGCGAGGAACCUUACCCGGGCUUAAAUUGCAGAUGAAUUACGGUGAAAGCCGUAAGCCGCAAGGCAUCUGUGAAGGUGCUGCAUGGUUGUCGUCAGCUCGUGCCGUGAGGUGUCGGCUUAAGUGCCAUAACGAGCGCAACCCUUGUUGUCAGUUACUAACAGGUUCCGCUGAGGACUCUGACAAGACUGCCAUCGUAAGAUGUGAGGAAGGUGGGGAUGACGUCAAAUCAGCACGGCCCUUACGUCCGGGGCUACACACGUGUUACAAUGGGGGGUACAGAGGGCCGCUACCACGCGAGUGGAUGCCAAUCCCCAAAACCUCUCUCAGUUCGGACUGGAGUCUGCAACCCGACUCCACGAAGCUGGAUUCGCUAGUAAUCGCGCAUCAGCCACGGCGCGGUGAAUACGUUCCCGGGCCUUGUACACACCGCC
rnacentral:rRNA from 1 species